rnacentral:rRNA from 1 species
UACGGAGGGUGCGAGCGUUGUCCGGAAUCACUGGGCGUAAAGGGUGCGUAGGCGGUCGGGUAAGUCUGAUGUGAAAUCUCACAGCUUAACUGUGAAACUGCAUUGGAUACUAUCCGGCUUGAGGAAUGGAGGGGAGACUGGAAUACUUGGUGUAGCAGUGAAAUGCGUAGAUAUCAAGUGGAACACCAGUGGCGAAGGCGAGUCUCUGGACAUUUCCUGACGCUGAGGCACGAAAGCCAGGGGAGCAAACGGG